AACGAACGCUGGCGGCAUGGUUAGACAUGCAAGUCGAGCGCGAAAUGUUCCUUCGGGAACCGAGUAGAGCGGCGGAAGGGCGAGUAAUGCAUGGGAACGUACCUCCUGCACGGGGAUAGCCCACCGAAAGGUGGGAUAAUACCCGAUGAUCCGGCAACGGCAAAGGUGGGGACCCCUUCGGGGGCCUACCGGCGGGAGAGCGGCCCAUGUCCUAUCAGCUUGUUGGUGAGGUAACGGCUCACCAAGGCGACGACGGGUACCGGGACUGAGAGGUUGGCCCGGCGCAUUGGGACUGAGACACUGCCCAGACUCCUACGGGAGGCUGCAGUAACGAAUAUUCCACAAUGGACGCAAGUCUGAUGGAGCAAUGCCGCGUGCGGGACGAAGCACUUCGGUGUGUAAACCGCUGUCAGGGAUUACCAAGCAACGGAGGUUAAUACCCUCCCGCGUUGAGGCGUCCCAGAGGAAGCCACGGCUAACUUCGUGCCAGCAGCCGCGGUAAUACGAAGGUGGCGAGCGUUGUUCGGAAUCACUGGGCUUAAAGGGCGUGCAGGCGGCCGUGCAAGCGUCUUGUGAAAUCCCCCGGCUCAACCGGGGAAUGGCUGGGCGAACUGCACGGCUUGAGGCAGGUAGGGGUGCGUGGAACUCUUGGUGGAGCGGUGAAAUGCGUAGAUAUCAAGAGGAACGCCGGAGGCGAAAGCGACGCACUGGGCCUGUCCUGACGCUGAGACGCGAAGGCCAGGGGAGCGAACGGGAUUAGAUACCCCGGUAGUCCUGGCAGUAAACGUUGCCUACUAGGUCGGAGGUCUUCUGACAGGGUUCCGGCCGGAACUAAAGCGUUAAGUAGGCCGCCUGGGGAGUACGGUCGCAAGGCUAAAACUCAAAGGAAUUGACGGGGGCCCGCACAAGCGGUGGAGUAUGUGGUUUAAUUCGACGCAACGCGCAGAACCUUACCCGGCCUUGACAUCGAGGGAAAGCCUUUAGAAAUAAAGGCCCUCCCCUUCGGGGGACCCAAAGACAGGUGCUGCAUGGCUGUCGUCAGCUCGUGUCGUGAGAUGUUGGGUUAAGUCCCGCAACGAGCGCAACCCUUGCCGUUUAGUUGCCAGCGAGUAAAGUCGGGCACUCUAACGGGACUGCCGUCGUCAAGACGGAGGAAGGCGGGGAUGACGUCAAGUCCUCAUGGCCCUCACGGUCGGGGCUACACACGUACUACAAUGGGCGGUACAGAGCGCAGCGAGCUCGCGAGAGUCAGCGAAUCGCAGAAAACCGCCCUCAGUUCGGAUUGCAGUCUGCAACUCGACUGCAUGAAGGCGGAAUCGCUAGUAAUCGCGGAUCAGCAUGCCGCGGUGAUACGUUCCCGGGCCUUGUACACACCGCCCGUCACACCAUGGGAGUGGAUUGCACCAGAAGUGGGUGAGCUAACCUUCG
rnacentral:rRNA from 1 species